AUACUUACCUGGCAGGUAGAUACCAUGACCACAAAGGUGGUUUUCCCAGGGUGAGAGUUAACCAUUGCACUCUGGAUGUACUGAACCUUGACAUUCCCCAAAUGUGGGAAACUCGACUGCAUAAUUUGUGGUAAUGGGAGAAUGCAUUCAUGCUCUCCCCUG